rnacentral:rRNA from 1 species
AUUGAACGCUGGCGGCAGGCCUAACACAUGCAAGUCGAACGAGUGGCGGACUGGUGAGUAAUGUCUGGGAAACUGCCUGCUGGAGGGGGAUAACUACUGGAAACGGUAGCUAAUACCGCAUACCAUCGGAUGUGCCCAGAUGGGAUUAGCUAGUAGGGGGGGUAAAGGCGCACCUAGGCGACGAUCCCUAGCUGGGCUGAGAGGAUGACAAGCCACACUGGAACUGAGACACGGUCCAGACUCCUACGGGAGGCAGCAGGGGGGAAUAUUGCACAAUGGGCGCAAGCCUGAUGCAGCCAUGCCGCGUGUAUGAAGAAGGUCUUCGGAUUGUAAAGCACUUUAAGUUGGGAGGCGUUACCAACAGAAUAAGCACCGGCUAACUGCGUGCCAGCCGCCGCGGUAAUAC